rnacentral:rRNA from 1 species
AGUGAACGCUGGCGGUAGGCCUAACACAUGCAAGUCGAACGGCAGCACAGUAAGAGCUUGCUCUUACGGGUGGCGAGUGGCGGACGGGUGAGGAAUACAUCGGAAUCUACUUUUUCGUGGGGGAUAACGUAGGGAAACUUACGCUAAUACCGCAUACGACCUACGGGUGAAAGCAGGGGAUCUUCGGGCCUUGCGCGAUUGAAUGAGCCGAUGUCGGAUUAGCUAGUUGGCGGGGUAAAGGCCCACCAAGGCGACGAUCCGUAGCUGGUCUGAGAGGAUGAUCAGCCACACUGGAACUGAGACACGGUCCAGACUCCCACGGGAGGCAGCAGUGGGGAAUAUUGGACAAUGGGCGCAAGCCUGAUCCAGCCAUACCGCGUGGGUGAAGAAGGCCUUCGGGUUGUAAAGCCCUUUUGUUGGGAAAGAAAAGCAGCAGGUUAAUACCCCGCUGUUCUGACGGUACCCAAAGAAUAAGCACCGGCUAACUUCGUG